GCCGGGGUGGCGGAACUGGUAGACGCAAGGGACUUAAAAUCCCUCGGUUGCAAUGUAACCGUGCCGGUUCGAGUCCGGCCCUCGGCA
rnacentral:tRNA from 1 species